rnacentral:rRNA from 1 species
ACGCGGGAAAUCUUACCGGGUCCGGACACACUGAGGAUUGACAGGUAUUAUAUAGCGCGCUUGCGCGUCUAUUGUUAAAUAUGCUAGUCCUUUCAUGAUUAUGUGAUAGGUGGUGCAUGGCCGUUCUUAGUUCGUGGAGUGAUCUGUCUGCUUAAUUGCGUUUCAGAUAAGGAUCUAUAUUCUUUACAGAAGUGUUGCGUAGUGCAUUUGACCCCUCGUUCGCGAGUGCGUGUCUUUUCGCGCUCGCACGCUUUUUACAUUAGGUCCUGAAAGCAACGAACGUGACCGCAACCUCUUGUUGCCUCAUCUCCCUACUUUUUUAGCACUUCGGUGUUAAAUAAUUUCAUUGAGGCUUUCCAAAACUAGAGGGACCGCUGUCAACUUCUUAAACCAGAGGAAGGUUGCGGCAAUAACAGG